CCGAAAUAUUCCCACACUUGGGCUGUUGCGUUCGGUUUAGACACCAAAGCUGUCGUGUUCAUUCUGUUUGCUUGCUUUUCACUCACGACGCUCACUUGCAGCACUGCAUCCAAAAGUCUGUGUCUGUGUGCCUGUGCCCCAUUACGUGUACCUGUGCGCGCGCCCCCCCCGUGAAAAAGAUACUGAAUGACUGACAGGAGGGUUCACUAACUCCGUUCAUUCCGCUAUAUAGCCAACGCCCCCAGGUGCCGAGAACAAUGCUCAGAGUGAGACCUCUUCUCUCAUCCAGCGUGUUUGGUAGCGAGAGAGGAGGAAAACAAACGCACGUUAAUUAUCGAGGCUGGCAAAAUGACCGACCUCGUUUUUAUUUACCGAGCGAUACAGCGAUUUUUUGAUUAUCGCGACAGGCCUAGUAAAGCCAAAGCCGAUUUUUAUCUUAAUAAAAUUUGUGACAGUGCAAACAACCCUUCUAAAUUCUGGAAACUGAUUAAAUAACUGUCUUCAGGGUCAAAGGAUACUGUGCUGCCAAAUACAUUAAAGUUGAAUGAUGAGACCAUUACAGACAAGAAAAGUAUGCUAGAUUCUUUGAACCAGCACUUUAUAUCUUCUGGGUUGUUGUUUGAGCACGACAUACCACAAGUGGUGAGUCAACAGGAUCACUCAUUGUCCAGGGAAAAUCUACCUUUUGAUUUUGAUCUUGCACCUUUGUCUAGAGAUGAGAUAUAUGACUCUCUCUCAAGGUUAAAUCCCAAGAAAUCCCCUGGUCCUGAUGGGUUGGGUCCUUUCUUUUUAAAACUUGCUACUGAGCAUAUUGAAGUCCCCUUGACUUAUGUUUUCAAUUGGACUAUAGAAACUGGGAUAAUACCUAGCAUUUGGAAGUCAGCAUAUGUCACUCCUUUACUGAAGGGUGUUGACCGGUCUAAUCCCAAUAAUUAUAGGCCGAUAUCCAAAUUACCUAUUUUGGCCAAGGUCUUGGAAGGACUUAUAAGUGAUCAGCUGAAAAAUUUCUUGACAUCAAAUAGCAUUUUAAAUGAAUUACAGUCUGGUUUCCCUAAAAAACACAGCACAGUCACUGCCUGAUGAAAGUGUUAAAUGAUUUCAUUUGUUCUAUUGACUCUAAAGUAGGCCUGUCACGAUAACAAAUUUUGCUGGACGAUAAAUGUGCUACAAAUUAUCGCCGAUAAACGAUAUUAUUGACACCGUUUUUUAAAUUAUAGAUAAUGAUAUUAAAUGGCAUAAUAAUGCGAGUACACCGUGUCAAAACUGAUAAACUUUAAUUUCACCCACGACGAAGACGUAACGUUGACGAGCUAAACAUAAGUCGGAGAUGACUAAAAUGUGACGAGACGAAAGUGCGUUUACCUUGAUGGGACGAGACGAAAAUGACGAACAGAGUUGCAAAACUCAGGCAGUUAAACGCUAAACAUGUAGGAGCAGCUUCAGUCCGCUCUGACAGCUCUCAUCAUCCUGCUGUGCUCCUCCAACACAGAGACACACACGCGCGCACACACGUGGAGUUUUGUGGUUGACGAAAACAAAACUGGUUUAAAGCCGAAAUAUUCCCACACUUGGGCUGUUGCGUUCAGUUUAGACACCAAAGCUGUCGUGUUCAUUCUGUUUGCUUGCUUUUCACUCACGACGCUCACUUGCAGCACUGUAUCCAAAAGUCUGUGUCUGUGUGCCUGUGCGCACGCCCCCCCCCGUGACAAAGAUACUGAAUGACUGACAGGAGGGUUCACUAACUCCGUUCAUUCCGCUAUAGAGCCAACGCCCCCAGGUGCCGAGAAAAAUGCGCAGAGUGAGACCUCUUCUCUCAUCCAGCGUGUUUGGUAGCGAGAGAGGAGGAAAACAAACGCACGUCAAUUAUCGAGGCUGGCAAAAUGACCGACCUCGUUUUUAUUUACCGAGCGAUAAGGCGAUUUAUUGAUUAUCGCGACAGGCCUACUCUAAAGAAUA
rnacentral:lncRNA from 1 species